UUCUUGGUGGUCCAGUGGUUAAGACUCCAUGCUUUCACUGCCAAGGGCCCAGGUUCAAUCCCUGGUCAAGGAA
rfam:TPA: Bos taurus chromosome 16, whole genome shotgun sequence.